rnacentral:tRNA from 1 species
AAAGCACCUAGUUUACACCUAGAAGAUUUCACAUAUUAUGAAUAUCUUGA